AGAGGAAUUUUCUUGCUGCUUCACUGUUUAAAAAAAUUAACUGAAAUUUAUCUUCAAUUAUUUUACCACUUACCAUACUUUCUACAUAUUUUAUGUCUAUCCAUUUAUUUAUUUAUUGCUGAGGAAGAUUCACCCUGAGCUAACAUCUGUGCCAAUCUUCCUCUAUUUUGUAUGUGGGUUGCUGCCAUAGCAUGGCCACUGAUGAGUGGUAUAGGUCCACGCCCAGGAACCAAACCCAGGCUGCUGAAGUGGAGUGUGCUGAACUUAACCACUAGGCCACAGGGCCAGCCACUUUAUGUCUAUUCCUUUAAAUAGGGAAGAUGUAGUACCUGGCUGGGUAAGGAAACACACCUGUCGCUAGUCAGAGCCCCAGUAAACAAAUAGUAGAUGGAAAAGCCAGAAAGAAUUGAGGCUUUGGAACAAGGCAGACCUAGUUUAUGGAAACUCUGCCCCUUGUACCUUGGUGACCGUGCUGAAUGUUAUUAACCUUUCUGAGCAUCAGUCUCCUCAUCUAUAAAAUGAGCAAAAACAGAAUACUUAUCCAUGGAGUGAUUCUAAGGAUCAACUGAAAAAAAGAUAUACUUUGAAAAUCUGGCAUUGUGUUGUUGCUUGACAAAUGUCAAUUCUCUUCUUUUGCAUGCUUUUUUUGGAUCCAGUGGCUGCCCAGAGGUCCCAAGACCAGACCCAAGAAAUGGCUCUCAGAGAAACCCUGACAGAUCCACACUCAACUCUACCUGAGCCGCAAGCUAAAACUUACCUCCAAGAGCUCAUUUCUCUGAGGCAUACAAAGGAAGCUUUCAAAGAACUUAGUAUCUGAUUGGGGGAAAACAAAACUGAUCUAGAGUUGGUGUCAUUGCAGAAAAAUUUUUCUGUGCUUAGAAACCAGAAUUACAGAAAGGCAUACAAAUGCACAGAUGGGUGAGCAACUAUUAGAGAAGGAAGACUUCGGGGAGUCAUAAAAAAAGGAUUAAUUCUGAAUAGAAAAAGGAAAUUACCCUAAAGGGUAAGUAUAAAAGCAGCAUGAGUGUUCCUUAUAUGAAAUGACAACAUUUUAUAAAAGAAUUUAGGAAGCAAUAAAAUCCAUCCUUACAUUUUAUUAUUUUACA
rnacentral:lncRNA from 1 species